UAAUUUUUAAUCUGUUUUCUCAGAAUACAAUUGACUAUUUUGAAAACUCUAAAAAGUCAAAACAAAAUACUCCCUUUCAUUCUUGACAAAACCAGCCACUUUCCCCCUGUUUAGGUAACCUCUGUUCAGAAACUGGAAGCACUUUACAGAAAGCAUUUUUUCCUUAAUUGGUGCGUUGAGGAGGAUAUAGAAGGUAGAGGAAAACUUAGAAAACUGUGGCCAUAUGGGAAGCCCUGGAGAGGCCUGAACCAUUGAGAAUCUCCUAUUAGUCUGUGAGCAGGGAAGACAGGAGGAAGCUACAGGAGAGACAAUGAUAGUCAAAGCGGUGAGGUCCCAUGAAACGAAGAGGAAAAGAGGGACCUCAACGCACAGGAAAGACGGUAGCUUCAGGAAGAACCCAUUUAUCUGAAGGUCAACAGUAAGUUUAUGGGGAUGAACCCUGCUGUCCACAUUACAGACAUGAUCUUAAGCAGAGACUUCACACUGGAGAAGAUCCCCCAGAAUGUAACAAAUAUGAGGAGAUUUCACAUAGAACCCAACUUUCGCGCCACAUGACUGACAUCUCACAGGACAGAAACCCUAUACUUGCAAUCAAUUCGGAAGAGCCUUCAGCAUUUAUUCAUCAUUGAAUUAACAUAGGCUAAUUUAUACUGGAGUGAAACCAUGUAGGUCUCAUCAAUGUGGGAAGGCUUGCAGGCAAUGCUGUAACCUUAGAUGACAUGAGAAAACUGACCCUGAAGUGAACCCCUAUAUAUGUCAUAAACGUGGAAGAUAGUUGAGCUGGAGCCUCACAUUUAAAUACAGCAGAAACUCACACUGGAGAGAAACCUUAAUGUGAUAAACAUGGGACACACUUCAGCAGAGCCUUAACAUUUAUUCACACUGAUGAACUCCCAAGGUGAGAAACCAUCUGUCUCGAAACACUAAAAUCUGAUGCUUCAAUUAUUCUAUACCUUUCAUAUUUUCACUUAAUGUGCCCCUCAUAACUUAAAACUGAAUUACAAAUAAAUUUAAUUUUUCACAAGAGUCCUAGUCCUGGAGAAUUUGUGGACACUGCCAUGAAAAUCCCAAGAAUUCAUUCAGGCAGGGGUUUAUUCCUACAUCAGAAUUUUUUAGCCAAAAGUUUUUUUCCCCCACCAAAAACACAUAGAUAUGUCAGGACCGAGAAGCUGAAAGAUCAUUCCAGAAACACAACAUUGUAAAGCAACUAUACCGCAAUAAAUAAAAUAAGGUGAGAGAAGUGUUAAUUAUCUUUAUCACGUGCUGCAUUGCAUCCCUGGAACUUCAUCUCUCUUAAGGCUGGACGCUUGCAGUUUGGGUCACCUUCAUCCAGUCCCACCCCUUCCCAGGCCCUGCCUCUGGCGACCACAAAUCGGACUGUUAUUGGAUGAGUUUGUUUGUUGGUUGGUUGGCUGUUGAAAUAUAACUGAUCUACAACACUGUGUUACUUCUUGUUACACAACAGAGUAAUAUGGAAUUUCUAUACAUUUCAAAAUGAGCACCGGGUCCUCUGCUUGGAGAGGAGCCAGGUCACCGGCGCGUCUGAGGCCCUGGGCCCCACCGCCAAGCUCAGGGACAGGUCCCUGUCUGCGGAGGACGAGGCAGCCUCCAGGGGCCAGAGAAGAUGUUGAGAUCGCGCCCCUUCUCUCCGUCCUCUCACUCCAAGUUCCCGCGGCGGCGGCAGAGAGCCGGGCCGGACGCGCAGCCCGAGUGUAUGCGCCGAGGGAGGGAAGCGGCUGCGGUUCCGGCCCCGCGGGGCUGAGCC